rnacentral:rRNA from 1 species
CCUACGGGUGGCAGCAGUGGGGAAUAUUGGACAAUGGGCGAAAGCCUGAUCCAGCCAUGCCGCGUGUGUGAAGAAGGCCUUCGGGUUGUAAAGCACUUUCAGUGGGGAAGAAAGCCUUGGGGCUAAUACCCCCGAGGAAGGACAUCACCCACAGAAGAAGCACCGGCUAACUCCGUGCCAGCAGCCGCGGUAAUACGGAGGGUGCGAGCGUUAAUCGGAAUUACUGGGCGUAAAGCGCGCGUAGGCGGUCUGAUAAGCCGGUUGUGAAAGCCCCGGGCUCAACCUGGGAACGGCAUCCGGAACUGUCGGGCUAGAGUGCAGUAGAGGAAGGUAGAAUUCCCGGUGUAGCGGUGAAAUGCGUAGAGAUCGGGAGGAAUACCAGUGGCGAAGGCGGCCUUCUGGACUGACACUGACGCUGAGGUGCGAAAGCGUGGGUAGCAAACAGGAUUAGAUACCCGAGUAGUC